rnacentral:sRNA from 1 species
UUGUAAAGUUUAUAAAGUUUCAAUUUUUUAAAAUAAAUAACCCUAGUAAACAAACCAUUUUAAUUUUGUACACCUCAUAAAUCAAGUUUCAUGCUCAUUCGUAAUCGAAAUCAUUUUGGUCCUUUUUAUAGUAUGGCUCUUGACCAUUGUCCAAUUUUUUUAAGCGAUGUGGGACAUUCUAAAAUCGUAAUUAUUAUCCACCCAAACCCGUCCUACCAUAUAACCCAGUUCCGUGAAAUUAAACAUAAUUUUGUCAUUUUCUUAUAAAUUUCAAUAUUAUAAAAUUUGAAACUUAAAAAAAUACAAUAUCGACCCAAAAUUCAUCAUUGAAUUUUGAUUGUUAUAUUUAAGAUUUUUCCUGUAAUAUAUCGUCUCGUAUUAAUAUAUUUUUUAUAUAUUUAUAAUGUUUAAAUUUCUUGUAAAAUUCAAUUUACAAUUUUUAAAACUUUAU